UUGUUGAUCGAUGAAGCACGCAUAUGUACACGAUUACCAAUUGAAAUAUUUCAAUUUCUCUUCUGGUUCGAAGGAAUGCUGAGUAAUCGAGUCUCGGGCUACAUAAGAUGUUUGUCCUAGGUAGAUAAUUUUACCUGCGGCUUACUAAAAAAAAUUGGUUUGCACCAUUUUCAUAACGAACGACUCAUACAGAAAGAAAAUCAAAAGGUUGACCAUAAGUAAUUCAAACAGGAAGGAAGAGUUCAGCAUUGGAGAGGAAACGAAUGUAAAUGACUCGUUCGCAUGAAACUCGUCGCUUCGGCCUUUGGUCAGCGUAUACUGUGAAUUCGCAUCCGAGGAUGAAUACCGCCUGACUAUAUUCGCAUAAUAUGAAAACAUCUUCGUGUCCCGCUCCGCUAGAAACGACGAAAAAGACGUUGGAAAUAAUAAUACCGAACGCCAGGUAAAUUUAGCAUUGCGGGGUUUCGAUAUCGGCAACUCGAGGCGCCAGUAGCGGAGUCG